GGGUUAUGUGUGGGCAGCGGGCGGGGUAAAAGGUGGGGGGUAAGCGUUGGACGGAAUGUUUGGGCGUAAAGGGCGCGCAGGCGGGCCUUUAAGUCUGAGGGGAAAGCCCACGGCUCAACCGGGGAGGGUGAUUGGAAACUGGGGGACUUGAGUGCAGAAGAGGAAAGCGGAAUUCCAGGUGUAGCGGUGAAAUGCGUAGAGAUGUGGAGGAACACCAGUGGCGAAGGCGGCUUUCUGGUCUGUAACUGACGCUGAGGCGCGAAAGCGUGGGGAGCAAACAGGAUUAGAUACCCGGGAGUC
rnacentral:rRNA from 1 species